GGGCGAGAGCUGACGGGAGAUGGAGGGGCGGGAGAGCGCCGGUCCGGGGAGCUGCGCGGCGCCCGGUGCAUCGGAGCGAGGUUGUUGAGGCGACGGAAGAGGGACAGGAAACUGCAAACUCUGCCGAACCCCCCUCGGGCUCCCGGCCCGCAGGGAGGAGAAGGAGGAAAGGGUCGAGCCCCGGGCCUGCUGUGCAAGGGUGCAUCAGCACUCCUGAAAGAGAAGUUGAGCUGAGCAGAAGAUUUUUCGAACUGCCUGUCUGUGCCAAGCGAAUCACAUGUGUUGGUGGCCCGUGUGAUGCGCUUGUUCACCAGCAACAAGAAGUCACAGUCAUGAAUUUUAACACUGAGCUCAUACUGUGCUAAUCAUUUCCUAGAGCUUGUAUCAAGAACUGUUUGAAUUAAAGAGCAGCUUGUUGCUCCACACCAGUUAAAUGAA